GUCGGUCAGUAUUUAAAAAAUCUUUGUUUUUACUUUUUUUGUUUUUGCUAUCAUACUAAUUUAAAUAUUACAGUAACUGAAAGCUUUAAUACUUUGACAGAUCAGUCGAGUUGUCCUGCAAAGAGCUGCAAUACCAGUUCAAGUGGAGAUACUGAAGUGGACUUAGAUGACACCAUAAUAUUACAACACAGUCCUACAACAAGACGAAGAGUUGAAGACAUCUCUCUUGCCAAAGCCGUUGCUGUCAUUGGUGAGGAUGCAUCAUCCGUUGAAGGUCAUGUGAAUGUCCUGCAUAUCCAGUACAGCAAGGUGCGAGAGGAUAUACUAAAGAAGUACCCUUUCUUGAAGACAACCUCAGGGUUGUUUGAUGAUGUUGACCGAAUGCAUCCAUCACCUGUCAGUUUAAGCCA